rnacentral:lncRNA from 1 species
CUGCAUUUGAGGAAAUGUGCAUUUCUGGGGCAUAGAGGCAGUUAAGUAACUUUUCCAGGACCUCAUAGCUGGUGAGGGGCAGAGACAAAAAUCAAAACCCUGAGGAGCUAUUUGCAAGGUAGUCUGGGAACAGUAGCAAAGGCACAGAGGGAGUGUGGCCCUGCUAACACUAUGAUUUCAGACUUCUGGACUGCAGAACUGCAAGAGUUCUAUUGUUUUUGUUUUGUUUGUGAUGGAGUUUCACUCUUGUUGCCCAGGCUGGGCAAAGGGGACAAGCUACUUCAUUGUUAAAAAUUUGAAGUGGAGGUUCACCUCACUUCUGCUCUCAUCCAAUUGACAAACACCUCACAGGGCCAUGCCUAGCUGCAGAGGAAUCUGAGAAAUGCAGCUCUAGCUGGGCAGCCAUAUGCUUGGCCAAAACUCACUGGAAGGAAGAAGGGGGCCUGGGUACUUG